ACCUACUUAAGUCAGUGGUGAGAGUAUUGCUUUCAUACGCCGGGAGUCAUCGGUUCAAAUCCAAUAGUAGGUA
rnacentral:tRNA from 15 species